CAACAGGACAAUAGGGACACUAACAGCUAUGGUACAGAGUGGGAACAGCAAUUCGACUGUUGAGCUACUGAAUCCUGACAAGGCUCACACAAAAGGUCGCCCACGAUUGAUGACAAUACAAGAACGCAUAAAAACCAAGACAUUCUACAAGUGCAGCCACUGCCAUGAUCCAACUCACACAAAAAGGAAAUGCACUAAUCUGGAUAAGGUGUACGAAUUCCCGAAAAAGAAGAGAUCGAGGAAAGCAAACCAGACAAAAACAACUGAUGCAGGGCGAAACUAUUCUGGGAGUGGAAACAACAAAGAGACCAUCACCAGCAACUUACCUACCGAUAUGAAUAUUCAAGUGCAUCAAUGAAGUUGCUCCUGCUGUGCCACUCAAUCUCCCUCUGCUCGUACCCUGCGUGGAUGGAGAAAAGGAGUAGAGAAGACUAUUUAGAUUGGUGAUUGCAUGAACUUCGUGUAAAAAAAUAUUGAGAGAGAAAACAUGUCUACAUAUUCUGGAUUAGCUUAUUUGAACUGCAGAAUAAGCACAAAUGUGUGUAUUUUAGACUAAA